AGGAAUAACUUUGCAUUCACAGUUGUAAUAGUUGUAUUGGACGAAUCAUUUUCAAUCAUUUUAAUAUCUAGUUAUCAGGUCCUGCAACUCUUUGGAUCUAUUCCUCCUGGUGGUUGGCCUUUGCUUUCCACGAUGCUGUUUGUUGGCGUGACGCUCCCUCCAUGGAGUAUCUGAAGGACUGGACAGCCAUUAAUGAGUUGAAUGUGACCUCGAGACGUCGUGUGUGACCAGCAAUUCUCGAUGCCCUGUAAGUAAUCGUAAAAGUAGUAAUUGACUUGCAUCUGAGUCAUAUUAAAGAUUGAAAUGAUGAGGUUAUUAGGCUCCGACCUGUCCCCUCUCUGUGCAUGCGAUGCCCUGCUUCGCCGCCGCUAGCGGCCACAAUUGACGUCGCAGCGUUCGACGUUUUACUGGUACGAACGCCUAGUAGUUAAUACUUUGAACGAUUAAUAAAGACUCAGAUAGAUCAAAUCGCUUGUGGCAGACAUGAAGACACGAAGCUUCAACGGAAAUCUGAUAGAAGAUAAGAUUUUUCCAAAUAAAUCUUAUCUAUUCUGUUGAGAAAAAUCCUUCCUCCUAAUCCUAUAAAUAGGAGAGCAACGUGUUAAUGUAUUCAAACUAAGUUAUUUCACCUUUUUAAUAAAGUUUUUUCUAUUAUUAUUCUUAUCUUCUAUUAUUUCUAUCAAAAUUGAAUAAGACAGUUCAUGGAUCAAAUCCUCCUCCCACCAAAGCUUGAGAUCAUGGAGUUGGCCAGGCAAAAGUUCCUUUUUGCCGCAAGUGUCUUCGUCCUGUGCUUUCGUAGCUUCUGCCACGCUGAGAAACGUCCGUCUCUUGUCUCUAGUUGAGAUAUAUCUGUACCCUCUUCAUUCGCUGAUACUGACAAGCUUCUUGUGUCUCUCUGUUGNNNNNNNNNNNNNNNNNNNNCCCCACUCGGUGUAGCCACGUGACAACAAGCAAAGCGGAGUUGGGUGUUCACGGGGUCACUGCUCUCUGCCCUAAUCCAUCAUCAUCAGACGCUAAUGCUGAUGGAGGCCCAAUGCCUACCGUCCGAUUGGCGGAUGGUAAUGUUGGUAAGCUGGGGCACUUCGACACGCCUUCCCCCGGUGUGGGACCCGGCUCUCGUUCCCGCCCCCUGGUCCACCCCAACUUUUAAUGCCGGCCACGGACGUCGCCCCACGACGCGCGUCCGUCGCCCCGAGUGGGGGCCACGCUCGGUCCACCCGUCGGCAUGGGCGAAGGCUGGUGCCGGGGACCACCGUGUUGAUCGGGCUCCGUCCCGAGGACGAUGGGUGACGAGCCACGUGCCCCUCGUGUGGAUCCACCCAACCUUCCCCCCGACGGCAGCCCCCCACCUCUUCGUCGACGCAUGGUAUUUCGUCGGCCCCACACCUGAGAAACUCAAUGAAAAGGCGGGUGGACAAAAUGGGUAGGUAAACGAUGUAUUUCGAAAAUAAUCGCCCACGCCCCAGCGACACAAAGGGGCUGAAGAGGGCAGUGGGCCCCGCUUCCGGUGGAAUCAAGAAGAAGAAGAAGAAGAAGAAGAAGGGAAGGGAGGCACGGGUGUAGCCUAGGCAGGGAAAGUUUGGUGGAGCUUAGGCAAGGGAACGCAGUCUCCGAAAUCCCAUAACUAACCCUUUCGGGUGCAGGCCGACCCGCACGCUGUCUUCCUGAUCACGAUCCGACGGUCAAAGUUCACUAGAAUAGGGACACAGUUGGAAUAGGAGUUCCGAUCUCGUCGUGGUGGGUGAUGAAUAAAGAGAGGGUGUAUCUCGUGAGCCAUGUGAAUUAAGAUGCAAUCAAAUGAGAUGCAUCUGUAUGGUGGUGAGAUUUGAGGAUGUCACUUUUAUCUCUUGGAUUCAAAAUCUAAGAAUAUUUAUAAAUUUUGAACUUAUUCUUCAGAGUCACUAUUGUUGAUAGCGUAUUUACUACUGUGAAUCAGUGUCUCAUGAGCAGAAAGAAAGGGACAAUCAUGAAAAAAGAAGACCAACAAAACAAAAGAGAUUUCUAUCGUUUAUAACAGAUUUACUAUUUAUAAUCUCAUUUUUAAUUUUUUGUAAUAUUCGUAAGAUACCCCUCAAUAAAUGAAUGAAUGUCAAUCUCAUCAACUUAUCCCUUAAUUAUCGUAAUAUUUUUUAAGACUCAAUUAGUGUUGAUGCUUAACAUGAUGAUUGAUCGAUUUAUGAAAUAUGACAAUAUGAAGUAAUGAUAUUUGAGGGGUUAUAACAAAUAAGGGUAUAAUUAGUAAUUGAGAAGUUGUAUUUAGUAAAAUUAUAUUUUAUUAUUUUUUAAAAUGAUUGUAUAAAGUAAAGGGAUAUUAAUAGCCAAAAAAAAAUGAAUUGUCAAUAGCAAUAUUCCAGACAAAUAUUAUAAAUUAAAAGAUACUAAUGGUAUUUGAUAGGGGUAAAAACGAAUAGGGCACGACGCACCGGAUUUGACGUAACACUGCCCCAUGACAACCGCCCCAAACGGCGCACCAUGCCAAGGGACAAGCAUUAAUACCAGCGUAACGCGCACCCUCACCGAUCGUACCCGCACGGCCUCGUCUUGCUGACCCCGUACGACCGGACAGAGCAGGGGAAGGCGUCAGCCAAGGCUUACCACACCCUACAACUCGACCUUACCGUGCAACGCCCACAACGGCAACAGACGUGAUCAGGAGUACGACUCUGCCCCGGCGAUGUGGCGUCAGGUAACAUCAAGCUCACAUAUAAAUACCCACGGGCUCCCAGCCGGCGGGGUAAGCAGACAAGCACAGGAUUUUCCCCUAAAACUCCCCUCCACACCGCUAACUUGACCGUUGGAGGGGUCGGGCCGAAUCGCCGACCCGACCUUUGUGCAGGUAUUCGGGGAAAGCCGACCCAGCAGCGCGGAGCAUCCCGGCCUUAUUCCCCGUGAUCGGUCGUUCCAAGAUCUCAAUCCUGGUAGCCUCGCCUGAUCCUAGUCGUUCGGACCCCUGAACCAGCCGCGUCGACCCCCAGGUCAUGGCUAAAAAAGUUACUUACCGUAACAGUAUUGAUUCUCAAAGGAAACAACAAUACAACCACUAAUUAAUUGACUCAUCCAUCUCAAGCUCUUAGAAUGAUGAUAAGAGUUUCUUAAUUUAUCAUUGUUUACUAAAGAUAAACCUAUUUUAAUAUCCAAUUAUCCAAUUGGCUUCAUCAAUUCCAAGUCUGAUACCUCGUUAUUUAUUUGCCAGCACAAUGAAAGCAUAAUAUAUCUUUUAGUAUAUGUGAAUGAUAUUAUUGUCAUAGAAAAUGAUUGAAGACUCAGGCAUUUCUAAAGCACUUGGCCGAUCGAUUCUCCCUCAAAGAUCUAGGAACUUUAAGCUACUUUUUGAGAGUGGAAGCAACAUUUACACCUUCAGGUCUCUUCCUAUCACAAAGAAAGUAUAUUCAAGAUUUAUUAUUAAAGAGGUUACAACUUCUCUCUCUACCAAUGAGUCACUUAAAUUAUGUGAUGGAAGUCCUACUAAUUCGACUCAAUAUCGAAAAGUCCUUGGCUCCUUACAGUACUUGGCUCUCACUUGUCCAGAUAUUUCAUUUGCCGUCAAUAAAUUAUCGCAAUUCAUGCAUCGAUCAUCUACUACGCAUUGGUUUGCGGUCAAAAGAAUUUUGCGGUAUCUUAAAGGGACUCUUAAUCAUGGCAUUUUUCUUCGCAAAAAUACUUCACUCCAUCUCCAUGCUUUUGCUGAUGUUGAUUGGGUAGGGAACUUUGAUGAUAGAACUUCUACGUCCGGAUAUAUUGUUUUCCUUGGAGCUACUCCAAUCAGUUGGAGUUCAAAAAAACAAAAGACGAUUUCAUGAUCUAUAACUGAAGCUGAAUAUCGUGUCAUCGCCACCGCCGCUGCUGAACUCAAUUGGGUCACAAAUCUGCUCAAGGAACUCAACGUCAACUCCGCAGUUAUUCCUACAAUAUAUUGUGAUAAUAUUGGAGCUACCUACUUAUGUGCUAAUCCAGUGUUCCAUUCCCGCAUGAAACACAUAGCCAUUGACUUCCACUCCGUGCAAGAUCAAGUUGUCAGACAUCAACUCCGUUGUCAGACAUCAACUCCGUGUUUCUCACGUACAUACAGGUAAUCAACUAGCAAAGCCUCUCGCCCUUAAAGCAUAAGCUCAAUCUUACGGAGGCAUGAUAAGUAGAUAAGAUUUCCUCAAGGCAGUUGAGGAAAUCUCUAAGCAGUUGAGAAAAAUCCUCCAUGCUGAAUGUGUAUAAUCUCCCUGCUCAGUGUGUAUAAAUAACUAUCAAGAGCUCACUCUAAACGAAUUAGACAAUUACAUCUUAUACAUUUCAUAGUUUCUUCUAUAACUUCUAUCUUUCUAUAUUCUUCGUUUAAUUUUUUAAUCAGUUGUCAAUAAUAACUUUGCAUUCACAGUUGUAAUUGUUGUAUUGGACGAAUCAUUUUCAAUCAUUUUAAUAUCUAGUUAUCAGGUCCUGCUACUCUUUGGAUCUAUUCCUCCUGGUGGUUGGCCUUUGCUUUCGACGAUGCUGUUUGUUGGCGUGAAGCUCCCACCAUGGAGAAUCUGAAGGAUUGGACAGCCAUUAAUGAGUUGAAUGUGACCUCGAGACGCCGUGUGUGACCAGCAAUUCUCGAUCUAUCCAAAGUCAACCGUUUCCUGUAAGUAAUCGUAAAAGUAGUAAUUGACUUGCAUCUGAGUCAUAUUAAAGAUUGAAAUGAUUAGGUAAAUAGGCUCCGACCUGUCCCCUCUCUGCAUGCGAUGCCCUG
rnacentral:lncRNA from 1 species